rnacentral:misc_RNA from 1 species
CCAAUUCUUUACAAGCAUCAUUGC